rnacentral:rRNA from 1 species
CCAGACUCCUACGGGAGGCAGCAGUGGGGAAUAUUGGACAAUGGGGGCAACCCUGAUCCAGCAAUUCUGUGUGCACGAUGAAGGUCUUCGGAUUGUAAAGUGCUUUCAGCAGGGAAGAAAAAAAUGACGGUACCUGCAGAAGAAGCGACGGCUAAAUACGUGCCAGCAGCCGCGGUAAUACGUAUGUCGCGAGCGUUAUCCGGAAUUAUUGGGCAUAAAGGGCAUCUAGGCGGCCGGAUAAGUCUGGGGUGAAAACUUGCGGCUCAACCGCAAGCCUGCCCUGGAAACUAUGCGGCUAGAGUACUGGAGAGGUGGACGGAACUGCACGAGUAGAGGUGAAAUUCGUAGAUAUGUGCAGGAAUGCCGAUGAUGAAGAUAGUUCACUGGACGGUAACUGACGCUGAAGUGCGAAAGCUAGGGGAGCAAACAGGAUUAGAUACCCUGGUAGUCCUAGCUGUAAAC